GUUCGGGGCAACAAAAAAAAACAAACACCUAUCAAGUGACUCUCUGCGCCUUUACAGAUAUCAGAUAUCACCCGCAUCGGACAUGUCGAAUAAUAGCAACAAGGUCAGAACAUUGAGAUAUCGAAAUGCAACACCAGAAAUCACUCAUUGCUCAAACGAACUAACGAACGGACGGACGGACAUACAACAGAUAGUGAUAGUGAUCGAACAAAUUCAGUGCAAAUGGCAGUGGUGAUCAAUUUGGAAAUAGUUACACAAAAAAUGAAAUGAAAGCAAACAAACAAAAAAAAAUAUAGAAGAAUGAUGGAAAGCAAAACAAAAUAAAAGCAAA